rnacentral:rRNA from 1 species
AGCAGCCGCGGUAAUUCCAGCUCCAAUAGCGUAUAUUAAAGUUGUUGCAGCUAAAAAGCUCGUAGUUGAAUUUCGGGGUCAGCAAGUUGGUCGUGCCACCGGUAUGCACUGGCUUUGCUGAUUCCUCCUUCUUGUAGAACCGUAAUGCCAUUAAGUUGGUGUUGCGGGAAAACAGGACUGUUACUUUGAAAAAAUUAGAGUGUUUAAAGCAGGCUAACGCUUGAAUACAUUAGCAUGGAAUAAUGAAAUAGGACGACGAUCCUAUUUUGUUGGUUUCUAGGAUUGACGUAAUGAUUAAUAGGGAUAGUUGGGGGCAUUAGUAUUCAAUUGUCAGAGGUGAAAUUCUUGGAUUUAUUGAAGACUGACUACUGCGAAAGCAUUUGCCAAGGAUGUUUUCAUUAAUCAAGAGCGAAAGUUAGGGGAUCGAAGACGAUCAGAUACCGUCGUAGUCUUAACCAUAAACUAUGCCGACUAGGGAUCGGAUGAUGUUAAUUUUAUAAUGACUCA